rnacentral:misc_RNA from 1 species
UCCACUUUGGUAGCUAUUCGAAACUUUUAACCAAAGAUGAAUCUUUUGGAAAUGUUUAAGUUUAUUUGUCUCGUAGCUUUAUUUUUAAUUUCUGACGCUAUUACUUUGGUGAAAGCAGACGGCUACUGUACAAAGAUGUGUUUUUUACAUCGGGGUAGGGAAAAUUAUUCCCGUAAUGACAAGAAUCAGAUGAUAUUUUGUUCCUGCCAUGGUACAAUGGACACAUCCGGUAAACGAAGUGACACAUCAGCCGGGAAUAUGGACAAAGCAGCUUCUGAGCUCCUCCUCCGGUACCUGAAAGAAGCUUCUCGCAAGAUCGAUGAUAAGGAAGGAUUAAAAGAUUUCGGUGGAGAGAGAGAAUUCGAGACAGAAGUGGAUUAUCUUUAAAAAGGUUCCUUUAAGAGAAACUAAAGGAUUGUGGAUUGUCUAUUUAAAGUCAAAUGUUGUAAAUUUUAAGAUGAAAAAAAAAUGGAUUAAAAAUGCUUUGAAACUGU